rnacentral:rRNA from 1 species
GAUGAACGCUAGCUACAGGCUUAACACAUGCAAGUCGAGGGGAAACGACAUCGAAAGCUUGCUUUUGAUGGGCGUCGACCGGCGCACGGGUGAGUAACGCGUAUCCAACCUGCCCAUCACUUGGGAAUAACCUUGCGAAAGUAAGACUAAUACCCAAUGAUAUCCCACGAAGACAUCUGAAUGGGAUUAAAGAUUUAUCGGUGAUGGAUGGGGAUGCGUCUGAUUAGCUUGUUGGUGGGGUAACGGCCCACCAAGGCAACGAUCAGUAGGGGUUCUGAGAGGAAGGUCCCCCACAUUGGAACUGAGACACGGUCCAAACUCCUACGGGAGGCAGCAGUGAGGUAUAUUGGUCAAGGGGCGAGAGCCUGAACCAGCCAAGUAGCGUGCAGGAUGACGGCCCUAUGGGUUGUAAACUGCUUUUAUAAGGGAAUAAAGUGGGUCUCGUGAGACUUUUUGCAUGUACCUUAUGAAUAAGGACCGGCUAAUUCCGUG